rnacentral:rRNA from 3 species
UUGACCUCAAAUCAGGUAGGACUACCCGCUGAACUUAAGCAUAUCAAUAAGCGGAGGAAAAGAAACUAACAAGGAUUCCCCUAGUAACUGCGAGUGAAGCGGGAAGAGCUCAAAUUUGAAAUCUGGCAGUUCUUGAACUGUCCGAGUUGUAAUCUAGAGAAGUGUUACCUGUGCUGGACCGUGUACAAGUCUUCUGGAAUGGAGCAUCACAGAGGGUGAGAAUCCCGUCUUUGACAUGGACUACCUGUGCGAUAUGGUGCGCUCUCAAAGAGUCGAGUUGUUUGGGAAUGCAGCUCAAAAUGGGUGGUAAAUGCCAUCUAAAGCUAAAUAUUGGCGAGAGACCGAUAGCGAACAAGUACCGUGAGGGAAAGAUGAAAAGAACUUUGGAAAGAGAGUUAAACAGUACGUGAAAUUGCUGAAAGGGAAACGCUUGAAGUCAGUCACGUCGGCUAGAAAUCAACCUUGCUUUUGCUUGGUGUACUUUCUGGUUGAUGGGUCAGCAUCAAUUUUGACCAUCGGAUAAAGUCAUUGGGAAUGUGGCAUCUUAGGAUGUGUUAUAGCCCGGUGUUGCAUACGGUGGUUGGGAUUGAGGAACUCAGCACGGCCGAAAGGCCCAGGAGAGUUUACUCCAUGUUCGUGCUUAGGAUGCUGGCAUAAUGGCUUUAAUCGACCCGUC